AGUGGUGAUCUCCCUAGGGAAGAGCUUGGGCUGUGGGAAUGGCCUGUGAGCAUUUCUCUGUACAUUGAUCUUUCUCCUUUUCUAGAGCCUCUAGGAGCACAUACUGAAAUGCACAGUGCUACAGAUGUACGUAUAUAGUUUUUUAAGGAAACCUUAAAGAAUACCUGUACUGAGGGGAAUAAAAUUCUACCAUUUUUUGGAGUGUCUGUGCUGGGUGACUUCAUUUUUACCAUGGCAAUAGAGAAGCCUCUCUAUUUCCAACUGGUUGAAUCCUCCAUCUUCCUUGAUGCAUACCAGUAAGCAAUGGGAACAUCCACGGGAGGUUUCUGGCUGUGGGAAAGCUGUGCCAGGGCCAUCCUGGUGGGAAGAUGACUGCAGCUGGACACUAGGCCACAGUGCUGCCUCCAGGAAAUGCUUGUGGAUCUGGAUGUGGCCACGCUGGAUGCACAGAGGGAUGCACAGCAGCCGCCUGCCUGCAUCACUGGGUUGGCCUCCAGGUAAGGGUGUGACUGGAUGAGAAAAGGGAGGUUGGUGCUUCAGGCUUGUCUGCAGAUUAACACAAUGCUGGUAACAUCAAAACCCCAAAUCUCAUAAUUGAUAGAGGUUCUGAGUUGCUCAUUUAAUGCAUCCCCAAAACUGCAACAACCAACCCUCAGCGGCUUCUUGCUGCCAAACCCAGGCUGGGUUUACAUGUGAAGUGCAUCAAGUGUUGCUCUUUCCUCUCUGUUCAAGGCUUGCUCUUCAGUGAUGCUCAGGUCAAAUCCAGCUCUGAGCUCACGCACCGGCUGUCGGGGACGGUGCUGUGCGCCGCAGCAGGUACCAGCCUCUCAGCUUCUCUCUCCUUGGGGCACCAAGAGCCUUUGCAAAUGUGUGCCAAGCUUGAGCAAGAGCUGUUGUUACCCAGAUUGCUCUUGUUUAAAGCACAAGUAGAGCAACAUUUCAUCUGAACACCUGAAUGCUGUUGUUUUUCAUAGCCAGCCCCAGGGUGCUGGGGGCUGUGAGCAGCUCUGCGAGGCUUCCUUGUGCUCUGAAGCAAGAAGCAAUAACUGUCCUUGUGGACAAGCACAAAUGCAUUUUGGCCGGGGAUGGAGCGGGGACCGGGUGGGGAUGGAGGCUGAACGUGUCAGCGCUGCGUGACGCCAACAGCCAGCUGCCAGAGCCCAGUGAGACUCAUCCCUGUGGAAGCCAAGGGGUUGAACCAGAACAAACGCCAGGCAAAGACUGAAAAGCCUUGUGCUGGCCUUGCUGGCACCCAGGGCAGGGGCUUGCUCUGGAUCAGCAGCCAGUGCCAAUGGGGUGUUUUGCAAGUGUGUCACUGCCUUUGCUGUCCAUCUUCUUCCAGGGUUUACAGCACUUAAUAGCAGGAGAUGAUGGUGCAGCAGGAGAGCAGAGCAGGGAUGGAUGCAGCAUUAGCAAAUGGCUUUUGUCACAGCUUCCGUUGCAGGGAGCAGCGGAGCCACGUGCCAUCGUGGUUGCCCUCAGUCCACACAGACAACGAGGGGUGCAGGGUUGUUCUGCCAAAGCCCUUCUGUGCAUGGAAGUAUAUUGAGAAAAUGCUGUCAUUUCAGUGCCAGAAAUUCCACGCACUUGUCGCAGGUAACUUCUUUAUGCCUGUCCCUUCAGAGGAAAUCCUGCUGAUGCUCUGGUCCCCUUAACUGAGACCUCUAGAGCCUCAGUUCAUCAGGUCGGUAACUUGGGAUUGACAGUGCCCAGGUUGUGCCCCUGCAGCACAAGCCCCGUUGGUCACCUGGAGCCAAGUGAGAUGCAACGAGGGCUGGGGAGAACCCAGGAGCUUUCUCCAUCCGCAGCACGGGAGGACCCGGGAGCCCACAGCAGCAGCCAUGGGGCCAGAAGCUGAAGUGUCCCAGCACAAAGCGAGCGAGCGGGGCCCUGCUGCAGCCUGUGGCUCAGAGGUUCUUCAUGCAGCAAAGCAGCAGCUGACUGCAAGCAAUCUAUCAGGAGUGAGCAGACACUGCUUAUGACAGAGGGAGUCUUAAUAUUGCAUUACUUCAUUUAUUUAGCACCUCUCCUCUAAUGCCCAGGGGAAGGACAAUGGGAAAGUGUUGUGGGUUGCUGGGGGCUGGUUGUUUCUUCUCUUCCCUGCACAGAACAAACAGCCUCCAGAUGGUUCUCGGCUGAGCGAAGAAAUACUGGCUUUACAAAAAGAAGGGAUGUCAAGUCAUUAAAAGCUGCAGGAAGAGAAGUCUUCUGAGAUGGGAGUGGAAAUGGGGCCAAGAGAGCUGGAGCCAGAAAGCAGAUGUAGGAAGCACAGGGAGACGGGAGGCAGUUGCACAGUGAAUGCACAGUUAGAAGGUGAUUCCUGACCAAGUGCUGGUUCAGCUCCUGCCACCAGCCUCUCUCACUGGACACACGCUCGGUCCCUUCUCCUCUGGGCUCUGAUCCCUGUCAGCAGCAAUUGCUUCCCACUCCAAGCUCUGGAGAUGCUCCUGGCGUGGUGGCUCUGAGCCAGCAGAGCCAAAGGGACCCUCUGCUCUGCCCGGGGAGCGGAUGAGGCCUCUGCCAUGGGGCCACACGCCGCCGGCCCGCAGCCGGGGCUCUCCAUCGCGCCCAGCGCCCGCCUGGCACCGCUCGGCUUUGGCAGCACCGAGCAUCUCCUGGGGCAUUGACCUGCUGGAAGGCUGCUGGGCUCGGCUGCCAGCAGGGAUGUGUGUUUGCAACGGAGAGCUCAUCGCCUGUUCCCCGCCGUGCGCCUGGGGGGGCUCCCUGGAAGCUGUUGCAGGAGCAGGGUUGUGCCAGCAAACCCAGCGUGGGAGCGCCAGGGAAAGCGGUGCCGGCUGCGCUCGCAGGCAGGGGCUGUGCCACCUCUCAGCUCUCCUCGUCGCUUUUCCUUCCAGGAGUGAGGUAUGGUUGUCACCAGCGUCACUGCUCCCACGUCAGGGCUGUGGGGUCGCUCCUUUCCCUGCAGAGAAAAUAUAAGGAGAGGCAGGUUGUGAAACGUCAACCCCAUCAGGUCUUGGCUCUAAAAUCCCCGCUGACUCCUGUGAUUUAUCACUCACCCAGCUGCUACUUGCAGCUUGGAUAAGAUAAGCGGGGGGGGGGGAAUAUGAAUUUUAAAAGCUUGGCUUUAAAGCCCACAGAGUAAGGCCAGGAAUCCUCUCCUGGCCGAGGUAACAGGGCAAGAACAUCACUGGUCACAGCUGAAAUAAAACAGCCAUCCGCUCCAGGCGGCCCUAGGAGAGGAUAAUUCUGCUGCCUUCUCUUCCCUGAUGUGGUUUUUGACCCAUGAUGUGAGAAAACCAGUAUUUAGGCAGCAGAAGCAAACCCGCGCCUGGGACAGCCCUGAGCCAUCAUCUCUCUGGGCACAUGGGGUGAUGCCCAGCGGGUUCUCCUUCCCCUCCUUUCCAACCAGCCACUCUGCGAGCUCUGCUCCAGCUCACUCACUUUCUGCCUCCAUUGGGGUUUGCUUUGCACCUCUUCAGCCUCAACCAUCAGCAGUUUCUCACCCAGCAAAGCCUCCGUCCUCCACGCGCGUUUCCUCCCGCUCUGACAGCAACCUCAGCAGCAGGUUCUGUCCCGGCUGCUGAGAGUCCCACAGAUGGUAACACCACUGCAGGCACAGGUAUUGCUUAAAAGCCUUGAUGAUGAUCCUUUGCAGGGAGCUAUUUGGCUUGUGCCUUUGUGCUUCCAUCACCCUACCUGAAUCCUGCCACAACAGCCCCCAGACUUGCUGCUUCUUGGGUCUUGUUUUAGCUACAACCCUCCUCCCUUUCCCUGCUUGGCAGCAUGGAUUUUCAUGCGACGUCCCAGCACAAGGCCUGUCACUCGGCUAUUGCCUGGAUCACAAGCUCGUGGGUGCUUUGGUCGUCCUGGGUGAAGGUGGAGCAUUCAGCUGAUGGGAAUUCUUGCACUGGGGCAGGUAGGAGACAAGGUGCUGAGCCUGCAGCACCAGGAACGUGCUUGUUGCAUUUACAAGCUGGAGUCACUUCUAGUUGUGUUUUCUUUCCAAGUUCCCAUUUGUCAUCCCAGAAACCUUCCGUGGCUGCUCGACAUUCCAGUGGGAAGGUGCCGCCUGUUUUCCAGCCACCACCCCUACAUCUGAGCCUCCUCAGUGACUUUGGGCUCCGAAGCAGUUGGAGCUUUCCACUCUGGAGGAAUUCCUUCACAUUAACUAUGAGGAAAGCCUGACCGAUUCAGAGCUGUCCAAUGGAAGAGACAAAUAUGCUGGAAGAAAUAAAGACUAUUUAUUUCCCCUCCGAGUUAUAGGAAUCAUAUGCAUCAGCUGGAUCAAUAGGUUGAAAGUGCCCAGCCAGAAAGAUGUUCUACAUAAAAAAGCAGAAGCCCUCCUUUAAGCUCAGGUAUUAUCAUGUUGUAAGUGAAAUUAUGAUAGUAAACCGUGUUUAGAGGCUCUCUUGGAAAGCUCAGGUUAAGAACAAAAGCUUAAUAAAUGUACUUGUACGUAGUAACAA